rnacentral:rRNA from 1 species
AGAGUUUGAUCAUGGCUCAGAUUGAACGCUGGCGGCAGGCCUAACACAUGCAAGUCGAACGGUAACAGGAAGAAGCUUGCUUCUUUGCUGACGAGUGGCGGACGGGUGAGUAAUGUCUGGGAAACUGCCUGAUGGAGGGGGAUAACUACUGGAAACGGUAGCUAAUACCGCAUAACGUCGCAAGACCAAAGAGGGGGACCUUCGGGCCUCUUGCCAUCGGAUGUGCCCAGAUGGGAUUAGCUAGUAGGUGGGGUAACGGCUCACCUAGGCGACGAUCCCUAGCUGGUCUGAGAGGAUGACCAGCCACACUGGAACUGAGACACGGUCCAGACUCCUACGGGAGGCAGCAGUGGGGAAUAUUGCACAAUGGGCGCAAGCCUGAUGCAGCCAUGCCGCGUGUAUGAAGAAGGCCUUCGGGUUGUAAAGUACUUUCAGCGGGGAGGAAGGGAGUAAAGUUAAUACCUUUGCUCAUUGACGUUACCCGCAGAAGAAGCACCGGCUAACUCCGUGCCAGCAGCCGCGGUAAUACGGAGGGUGCAAGCGUUAAUCGGAAUUACUGGGCGUAAAGCGCACGCAGGCGGUUUGUUAAGUCAGAUGUGAAAUCCCCGGGCUCAACCUGGGAACUGCAUCUGAUACUGGCAAGCUUGAGUCUCGUAGAGGGGGGUAGAAUUCCAGGUGUAGCGGUGAAAUGCGUAGAGAUCUGGAGGAAUACCGGUGGCGAAGGCGGCCCCCUGGACGAAGACUGACGCUCAGGUGCGAAAGCGUGGGGAGCAAACAGGAUUAGAUACCCUGGUAGUCCACGCCGUAAACGAUGUCGACUUGGAGGUUGUGCCCUUGAGGCGUGGCUUCCGGAGCUAACGCGUUAAGUCGACCGCCUGGGGAGUACGGCCGCAAGGUUAAAACUCAAAUGAAUUGACGGGGGCCCGCACAAGCGGUGGAGCAUGUGGUUUAAUUCGAUGCAACGCGAAGAACCUUACCUGGUCUUGACAUCCACGGAAGUUUUCAGAGAUGAGAAUGUGCCUUCGGGAACCGUGAGACAGGUGCUGCAUGGCUGUCGUCAGCUCGUGUUGUGAAAUGUUGGGUUAAGUCCCGCAACGAGCGCAACCCUUAUCCUUUGUUGCCAGCGGUCCGGCCGGGAACUCAAAGGAGACUGCCAGUGAUAAACUGGAGGAAGGUGGGGAUGACGCCAAGUCAUCAUGGCCCUUACGACCAGGGCUACACACGUGCUACAAUGGCGCAUACAAAGAGAAGCGACCUCGCGAGAGCAAGCGGACCUCAUAAAGUGCGUCGUAGUCCGGAUUGGAGUCUGCAACUCGACUCCAUGACGUCGGAAUCGCUAGUAAUCGUGGAUCAGAAUGCCACGGUGAAUACGUUCCCGGGCCUUGUACACACCGCCCGUCACACCAUGGGAGUGGGUUGCAAAAGAAGUAGGUAGCUUAACCUUCGGGAGGGCGCUUACCACUUUGUGAUUCAUGACUGGGGUGAAGUCGUAACAAGGUAACCGUAGGGGAACCUGCGGUUG